GCCUUAAGGAACAUCAUGUUCCACUCCCUGCCAUGAGCAAGGACACUUUCCACCAGCCCAGGUUGCUCCAAGCCCUGUCCAGCCUGGCCUUGGACACUGCCAG